rnacentral:lncRNA from 1 species
CUGGAUAGAUGGGGGUGCUCUCCCCCAAGCUGGAUUUUGACGUAAUUUCUUCUGAUGUAGCUAGCAGGUGGUGGAGGUGUAUUUGAAUGUCGGCAGCACCCUGACAGCGAUUAGGAUGUCCUCCGUCUGCUAGUCUUCUUUGAUCCUUGAAUUCUGUGGAGCUCAAAUAGACAACAAAGCUUUGUGGAACUGGUUAAGUGUUAGCAUAAAAUCUCUUAGUCGUUAUCAUGUUGAGCUUCCUCUAAUAAAUAUUACUCUCUUUGGUAGGAUCAUAAAUUUAUUUUUAUAUUUUCAUUUUUAUAGGAUAGGAAUAUAUUUAUUUUAUUUUUACGCCACCACAGUGAAUGUACUUAUGGGUUUUAUGCUACGAGCAUACUCACAUGGGGCUUACUGUUUUUAACAUCUUUAUUUUCUUUUCAAGAUAGCAUGAUUAACUAAUAAGCUAUUUAAGGAAAGUAAAUAAUUUAAGAGAAAAAGGAAUGCAGAAAGGAUAAAUAUGGAUAACUACCGAUUUUACCUUUCGGCGAGAGUUCAAUGUUUUAAGUCUUCUGAACAAGACUUCUCACCGUGUUCAUUCUUCAGGUGCGUCAUUUGAUUCAGGUGUGGCCCUUGACGUCUGCACCUCUUGAUACAGUGUCACCCAUGUUCUUCGUUUGCCCAGCAGUUCGAAGUGCGGCGUUGGCAGUAUCUUGCUCAGUGUGUUUGUGCUCGUAGAUCCAGGUCCUUCACUUGGUAGAGUCUGAGAGUUGAAAAAUCCUCCAUGUUUCUCAAAAUGUGUCCUGCUCAUAGAGACAAGGCAGAGAUCAAGUGCAUGGGUCCUGUUGGUGGAAAACACCAACA